rnacentral:rRNA from 1 species
GAUGAACGCUGGCGGCGUGCCUAAUACAUGCAAGUCGAGCGAAUGGAUUAAGAGCUUGCUCUUAUGAGGUUAGCGGCGGACGGGUGAGUAACACGUGGGUAACCUGCCCAUAAGACUGGGAUAACUCCGGGAAACCGGGGCUAAUACCGGAUAACAUUUUGAACCGCAUGGUUCGAAAUUGAAGGGCGGCUUCGGCUGUCACUUAUGGCUGGACCCGCGUCGCAUUAGCUAGUUGGUGAGGUAACGGCUCACCAAGGCAACGAUGCGUAGCCGACCUGAGAGGGUGAUCGGCCACACUGGGACUGAGACACGGCCCAGACUCCUACGGGAGGCAGCAGUAGGGAAUCUUCCGCAAUGGACGAAAGUCUGACGGAGCAACGCCGCGUGAGUGAUGAAGGCUUUCGGGUCGUAAAACUCUGUUGUUAGGGAAGAACAAGUGCUAGUUGAAUAAGCUGGCACCUUGACGGUACCUAACCAGAAAGCCACGGCUAACUACGUGCCAGCAGCCGCCGUAA